UACGUAGGUGGCAAGCGUUGUCCGGAAUUAUUGGGCGUAAAGCGCGCGCAGGCGGCCUCUUAAGUCUGAUGUGAAAGCCCACGGCUCAACCGUGGAGGGUCAUUGGAAACUGGGGAACUUGAGGACAGAAGAGGAGAGUGGAACUCCACGUGUAGCGGUGAAAUGCGUAGAGAUGUGGAGGAACACCAGUGGCGAAGGCGACUUUCUGGUCUGUAACUGGCGCUGAGGCGCGAAAGCGCGGGGAGCAAACAGG
rnacentral:misc_RNA from 1 species